rnacentral:rRNA from 1 species
GACGAACGCUGGCGGCGUGCCUAAUACAUGCAAGUCGAGCGAAUGACGAGAAGCUUGCUUCUCUGAUUUAGCGGCGGACGGGUGAGUAACACGUGGGCAACCUGCCCUACAGAUCGGGAUAACUCAGGGAAACCUGGGCUAAUACCGGAUAAUCCUUCGAAUCACAUGUUUUGAAGUUGAAAGGCGCUUCGGCGUCACUGUAGGAUGGGCCCGCGGUGCAUUAGCUAGUUGGUGGGGUAACGGCCUACCAAGGCAACGAUGCAUAGCCGACCUGGGAGGGUGAUCGGCCACAUUGGGACUGAGACACGGCCCAAACUCCUACGGGAGGCAGCAGUAGGGAAUCUUCCACAAUGGACGAAAGUCUGAUGGAGCAACGCCGCGUGAAUGAUGAAGGUUUUCGGAUCGUAAAACUCUGUUGUAAGGGAAGAACAAGUACGUUAGGAAAUGAACGUACCUUGACGGUACCUUAUUAGAAAGCCACGGCUAACUACGUGCCAGCCGCCGCGGUAA